UACAGAGGGUGCGAGCGUUAAUCGGAAUUACUGGGCGUAAAGCGUGCGUAGACGGUUAUUUAAGUCGGGUGUGAAAGCCCCGGGCUCAACCUGGGAAUUACAUUCGAGACUGAAUAGCUAGGGUACGGUAGAGGGAAGCGGAAUUUCCGGUGUAGCGGUGAAAUGCGUAGAUAUUGUAAGGAAGACCAGUGGCGAAGGCGGGUCUCUGGACAGUUCCUGACGCUGAGGCACGAAGGUCAGGGGAGCAAACGGG
rnacentral:rRNA from 1 species